rnacentral:tRNA from 1 species
GCGGAAGUGGCGGAAUUGGUAGACGCACCAGAUUUAGGUUCUGGCGCCGCAAGGUGUGAGAGUUCAAGUCUCUCCUUCCGCACCU